GAUUAGCACCAAAUACCUUAUGGAUUAUGGAAGAAGGCAGUCGAUCUAACUGCUGAAGACUGGGCAGGCUAUGUUUUCCAGUAUAUGGAUGUGUGAACAGAUCAUAAAGGAGAGCUGAAAGCGAUCGAAGAUGCUAACAGAGAAACGUACAGCGACACACCAAGCAGGUCAUCAAGCAACAGCAAAGAAUCUUCUGCCAAACCAGUUUCUUCUUUGUGAGAAAUCUGACCAUCUCACCACAACUCACUCUAAAGCAAGAAAGGAAUUUCUUUGGAAGUGAAAUUAUUUUCCUAUCAUUCUUUGAUCUCUACAUUUUAUUACUUACUCAGAAACAUCAACCUCACACAUGUUUCUUAUUCAUUUUGUGCCAGCAUUCCAUCAACAAUUCAGCAUCAAAAUACUGACUUUACUAUUUCAAGACAUGCUGCACCUUCCAAAAGUAUUCAAACACCUCAAGCUUUUUAUAUUCCAACCACCAACUUUAAUGUAUUUAAUUCAUACAUUUAAUUCAUGGAAACUAGUGCAGAUGAAAGAUAUUGCAAAGUUUUCAAAAAUGUUUUAGGACUAAAUAUUUUUUUUUUCUGUCAAUGUCUUUUGAAAUUUUGAUUUUUUUUUUUUGCUGAAAAAAAGAAGAAAUACAUUCCCUUGCAUACUGAAGCUACAUGAGAGUUACAUCAGAAGAAAGAUAAGGAAACAAAUAAAUAAAAAUAGCAAAGGCUGUCAAAAAAGCUAAAUUAAUAGAAUAUAAAUUUCUUUUGUCUAUACUGCAACUGACUGACAAUAGUAAUUCCAGGAACAGAUGAUUCUAUAAAGUGUUAACAUACAGUGGCUGAAAACAAAUGUAUUCCAGAAUAUUUAAGGAUUUUUAUUUGUUAAACCUUUUUUAAAUUUCUAUGCUCCACUUUCCAAUGAUGUAUUCUUUUCUAUUGGUCUAUCACAUAAUAUUUCAGUCAGAAUUAGAGAAGUUUGUGGUUGGAACAAGUCAAAAUGUUAAAACAUUCUGUAUUUGAAAAGCAUCUCCCCUUGUACUAUACGACCCAGUUCAAAGACAUUUUAUCUACUUAAUGAAAUACAUUCUUGACUCAAGGC